GAAAGCAAAAGGUAAGUACACGAACCUAAUAAUAAUUGCACUUCAAAUACUUAUUCGAAAUGGAAUUAUUAUUAGGUAUUUACAAUGCUUACAUCAUAAAUAUUUUGCUAUAAUUGAUAUCUAGUUAUCUGCUAUAAUUUUUUGAAAACAUAACCUCUUAUUUGCAGUCGUAGUGAGUGUAGCAAGUUUAGUCCUAAGUGGAACAUGAAUAAUCAAAUAAUAGUAAUUGAUCCAUGAUACAUAGGUACCUAUAUAUAAUUAAUUGGUUGUUUGUACUAGUUGAUUACAAAUCAUUGUUUUUGAAUAUAUCCUUAUAUUCUAAACACAUCUGUUUAUUGAUUUCAGGGAUUAUAGAAGAAGAAAAAUCAAUUUUGGAAAUAAAAUGUUUUCCCUCAUUGGCUCGCAACAGUCAAGAUAUGUUUUCUGCUGCAAAAGAGCGUAAAAAUUUUCCUCUCUACAUUGAUAGUACUGGGAGGUUACAAAUGAAUAAAAAACACUAUUUCUAUUAUCAGAUCCAGGGCCAGCUGCGGGUUACAAAAAUGAACAAAUGCUAUUUUGUUGGAUAUAUUUCUCCAACUUACGACAUCACUAUUUUAGAAAUAGAACGUGAUGAAGUUUUUAUCGGUAACAUGAUACCAAAACUAGUUAAUUUUUUUUUAAAUUGUGUAUUGCCUGAAGUAGUACUUCGGAGAGUCUGCAAUAAUCAAAAUUGCUUAGACAUUUCAUUUUGUAAAUAAAAUCAAU